rnacentral:rRNA from 1 species
GACGAACGCUGGCGGCGUGCUUAACACAUGCAAGUCGAACGGUGACCUCGAGAGCUUGCUCUUGAGUGAUCAGUGGCGAACGGGUGAGUAACACGUGAGUAACCUGCCCCAGACUCUGGAAUAACCCCGGGAAAUCGGAGCUAAUACCGGAUAGGACCUUGCACCGCAUGGUGUGGGGUGGAAAGUUUUUCGGUUUGGGAUGGACUCGCGGCCUAUCAGCUUGUUGGCGAGGUAAUGGCUCACCAAGGCGUCGACGGGUAGCCGGCCUGAGAGGGUGACCGGCCACACUGGGACUGAGACACGGCCCAGACUCCUACGGGAGGCAGCAGUGGGGAAUAUUGCACAAUGGGCGCAAGCCUGAUGCAGCAACGCCGCGUGCGGGAUGACGGCCUUCGGGUUGUAAACCGCUUUUAGUAGGGAAGAAGCCUUCGGGUGACGGUACCUGCAGAAAAAGGACCGGCUAACUACGUGCCAGCCGCCGCGGUAAGAC